UGGGCUUUGUUCAUUGUUGAAGGCCGUCAGUGACCUAUAAUUGUUAAUGUUUGUGUCAUUUUGGUCUUUUGUGGAUAGUUGUCUCAUUGGCAAUGACACCACAUCUUCUUUUUAUACUACAGACCGGCGAGUUUUUUUUAGACCUGUACAAGGCCGACUCCGAUUGAAAAACAAUUAAAAUCCUUAUAUUGUCAUUAAACCG
rnacentral:lncRNA from 1 species